CAUGGAAUGUUGAGUUGAUCCAGCUCAGCCGAACGCUGUGGCGUGCCAAUACAGCAAGUCGAGCGGCAGAUUGAGCUGCUCCCUAUGUAGCGCGGACGGUGAGUACACGUGGUAACCUCCUGUAAUCUCGGAUAACUCCGGGAACCGGGGCUAAUGCCGGAUGGUGUUUGAGCCGCAUGGUUCAAACAUAAAAGGGGCUUCGGCUCCACUUCAGAUGACCCGCGGCGCAUUAGCUAGUUGGUGAGGAACGGCUCACCAAGGCGACGAUGCGUAGCCGACCUGAGAGGGUGAUCGGCCACACUGGGACUGAGACACGGCCCAGACUCCUACGGGAGGCAGCAGUAGGGAAUCUUCCGCAAUGGACGAAAGUCUGACGGAGCAACGCCGCGUGAGUGAUGAAGGUUUUCGGAUCGUAAAGCUCUGUUGUUAGGGAAGAACAAGUACCGUUCGAAUAGGGCGGUACCUUGACGGUACCUAACCAGAAAGCCACGGCUAACUACGUGCCAGCAGCCGCGGUAAUACGUAGGUGGCAAGCGUUGUCCGGAAUUAUUGGGCGUAAAGGGCUCGCAGGCGGUUUCUUAAGUCUGAUGUGAAAGCCCCCGGCUCAACCGGGGAGGGUCAUUGGAAACUGGGGAACUUGAGUGCAGAAGAGGAGAGUGGAAUUCCACGUGUAGCGGUGAAAUGCGUAGAGAUGUGGAGGAACACCAGUGGCGAAGGCGACUCUCUGGUCUGUAACUGACGCUGAGGAGCGAAAGCGUGGGGAGCGAACAGGAUUAGAUACCCUGGUAGUCCACGCCGUAAACGAUGAGUGCUAAGUGUUAGGGGGUUUCCGCCCCUUAGUGCUGCAGCUAACGCAUUAAGCACUCCGCCUGGGGAGUACGGUCGCAAGACUGAAACUCAAAGGAAUUGACGGGGGCCCGCACAAGCGGUGGAGCAUGUGGUUUAAUUCGAAGCAACGCGAAGAACCUUACCAGGUCUUGACAUCCUCUGACAAUCCUAGAGAUAGGACGUCCCCUUCGGGGGCAGAGUGACAGGUGGUGCAUGGUUGUCGUCAGCUCGUGUCGUGAGAUGUUGGGUUAAGUCCCGCAACGAGCGCAACCCUUGAUCUUAGUUGCCAGCAUUCAGUUGGGCACUCUAAGGUGACUGCCGGUGACAAACCGGAGGAAGGUGGGGAUGACGUCAAAUCAUCAUGCCCCUUAUGACCUGGGCUACACACGUGCUACAAUGGACAGAACAAAGGGCAGCCAAACAGCGAGGUUAAGCCAAUCCCACAAAUCUGUUCUCAGUUCGGAUCGCAGUCUGCAACUCGACUGCGUGAAGCUGGAAUCGCUAGUAAUCGCGGAUCAGCAUGCCGCGGUGAAUACGUUCCCGGGCCUUGUACACACCGACCGUCACACUAUUAGAGUUUGUAACAUCCGAAAUCCGGUGAGGUAACUUUUUACGAUCCAGCUGCCGAAUGUUGGUACUCAUGAUCUGGGGUGAAGUCUUUAUCACG
rnacentral:rRNA from 1 species